GUAAUUUCAACGAUACUAUGUAGGACUAGAAUAGAAAUGUGUUUGAUCAUAUCAGUAAGAGAAAAAGUAUCCUUCUAGCAAGACUAAAUGGGAUCCAACGAGCACUGGAAAGACACCACUCUGUUAGGCUCCAAGAGUUGGAGAAAUCUUUGAAAGAGGAAUUAGAGGGGGUGUUAAUGCAAGAAGAAAUGCUAUGGAAGCAAAAAUCCUAAUGUAAUUAGAUUUCUUAAGGAUGG
rnacentral:lncRNA from 1 species